rnacentral:rRNA from 1 species
UACGGGGGGAGCAAGCGUUGUUCGGAUUUACUGGGCGUAAAGGGCGCGUAGGCGGUCAGCACAAGUCAGUUGUGAAAUCUCCGGGCUUAACUCGGAAAGGUCAACUGAUACUGUGCGACUAGAGUGCAGAAAGGGCAACCGGAAUUCUUGGUGUAGCGGUGAAAUGCGUAGAUAUCAAGAGGAACACCUGAGGCGAAGGCGGGUUGCUAGGCUGACACUGACGCUGAAGCGCGAAAGCUAGGGUAGCAAACGGG